rfam:Cavia porcellus supercont2_15 genomic scaffold, whole genome shotgun sequence.
GGGGAUUUAGCUCAGCGGCAUAAGCACCUGCCUUGCAAGCAGGCAGUCUUGAGUUCGAUCUCCAGAGAAACUCCA